GAUGAACGCUGGCGGCGUGCCUAAUACAUGCAAGUCGAGCGAACAGACGAGGCUCUUGCUCCUGUGACGUUAGCGGCGGACGGGUGAGUAACACGUGGAUAACCUACCUAUAAGACUUGGAUAACUUCGGGAAACCGGAGCUAAUACCGGAUAACAUGUUGAACCGCAUGGUUCUACAGUGAAAGACGGUCUUUCUGUCAAUUCUAGAUGGAUCCGCGCCGCAUUAGCUAGUUGGUAAGGUAACGGCUUACCAAGGCAACGAUGCGUAGCCGACCUGAGAGGGUGAUCGGCCACCCUGGAACUGAGCCACGGUCCAGACUCCUACGGGAGGCAGCAGUAGGGAACCUUCCGCAAUGGGCGAAAGCCUGACGGAGCAACGCAGCGUGAGUGAAGAAGGUCUUCGGAUCGUAAAACUCUGUUAUUAGGGAAGAACAAAUGUGUAAGUAACUAUGCACGUCUUGACGGUACCUAAUCAGAAAGCCACGGCUAACUACGUG
rnacentral:rRNA from 1 species